rnacentral:rRNA from 1 species
CCUACGGGUGGCAGCAGUCGAGGAUUUUUCUCAAUGGGGGAAACCCUGAAGGAGCGACGCCGCGUGAGGGAUGAAGGUCUUCGGAUUGUAAACCUCUGUCAUCUGGGAACAAUGUCAUCUACCUAACACGUGGAUGAUUGAUAGUACCGGAAGAGGAAGCAGUGGCUAACUCUGUGCCAGCAGCCGCGGUAAUACAGAGACUGCAAGCGUUGUUCGGAUUCAUUGGGCGUAAAGGGUGCGCAGGCGGUGUGUUAAGUCGGAUGUGAAAUCUCACAGCCUA